GACAAACCCUCUUCGACUUCUUCCUUAGAAUCACUCCACUAGUUUAUACAGUUCUAUUUGAAGCUUCACCCAGGUCGAUCAACAUGAGUGGGACUAGGGGUGAGCUUAACCUUGGACCAACCCUAGAUUGGCCCAACCUUACUAGUCCUAGUCCAAUCCUUAGGGAGACUAUGACGGUCUUUAGUCCUAAGGCCCUUGGACCUUGCAGUGUGUGGGUUGGUCAUCAGCCGUGAAAGUUUAGAGUUGAACUUUUGAACCAACCAUGUACAUAAUAUUAUAUAUAAAAUAUUAUUAUAUCUAAUAUAUUAUACAAUACAUGCUUUUAUCUAUUUUAAAUUCUAGCACGUCCUCUUUUAUUCUCUUCGUAGUUAUAUUUUUCAUGUAAAUUAGAAAGUAGAAACCUAGAGUGAAUUCGAUAAAAUAAAAUAAAAUAAAAUAAAAUAAAAUAAAAUAGAAACCCUCUUCACUUGCCUCGGCCUCGCUCACUCCCCUUGGCCUCACUCACUUUGCUCACAACUCACCUCUCUUUGCUUGCCUCACUUGCCUUGUUGCUUGUCUCUGUUGACUCACCUCGCUUCUUGCCUUUAUUCUCUCACCUAGAAUAUUCAUUUUUAUGGUCUGUUGUUUUUAGCAAGUAUAAGUUUCUAUUGUUACUUUAUCUUAUAUUUAUGUUUGAUAUGUAUUAAUGUUCAUAAUUUAGUUGUUCAAUAUCGCAUUGUUGAUGCAUAUGUAAUUUGAAAUAGUAAGUUUUUCCUUUUAAGAAAUAUAAAAAAUGAAACCAAAAAAAUAAACAAUUGGUCCCGGGUUGAUUUUGAAAUUGGAACCCAUAGGGUUAGUCUGGUCCUCAGUCCCAAGCUCAACAUGGUCAAUCCUUAGUCCUAGAAAUUGAGGACCAAUACUGUGCGGGUUGAUCCUUAGAUUAAGUGUUGGACCAAUUUAACCCGGACCAUGCUCAUUCUUAAGUGGGGCUAUCUUCAGUGAUAUCAGAGAUAAUUAUGAGACUCUUCAUACCUUUCUUGGUAGGGCAUAUAUCUCCCUUAGUUUUGCCUAUCCUUGACGUACUUUCGGAGCCACGAUGAGUCCAUGGUACAUAAGUUUUUGAUUUGUUUGGUUUGGUUAUUAUAUUACAAGAAACCCAUACGCAAGUUUGGUUUUCUCAGUUUAAACCAGAUAGAAGACAUAGUCUUCUGGAUUUUUUAGUUUAAACCAUACUCGAGUUGCACAUAUGGAGGCUAUUUGAGUAAUUGCAGGCAACUGAUGGGUGAAGACGUCUCUGGCUUGAGUGUGAAGGAUAUACAGAAUUUGGGGAACCAAUUAGAAAAUAGCUUAUCGACUAUCCGCCUUCAAAAGGAGCAGAUUAUGGCGGAUCAAAUUAAUGAGCUCCAUCGUAAGGUCUUACUUCGGCUAUAGAUCACAAUCAUUCUUUCUCCUAGUUCAACCAUCUUCAGGGAAGGGAGUUCUAGUUGUGAGGCAAACAAAUAUCAUGUAUCAUAUGCAGAUAUACUGAUUCUUUCCCCUUGAAGAAGGACCCCAUGUCAGAAUAGGAGUGUGACUCCUUUGGUGACUACAGAAUUGGCUUGAGUUGUCCCCUCCUUUAAACCUCCAACAUAGAUAAGCCCUAAACAUUUUUUACACUUUACAUUUGUCAAUAUUCAGUAAGAAGACAUCAAAUUGAAAAUCCUUUUGACAGGUUACGACUACCUCGACCUGGCGACUUCACGACUCUGGAUGAGGGAAUCCACGCACCGUACCAACACGGACAGCUUCGGUAGGCCCGGGGUGACGGGGGUAAACCCUGGGGCCCCACGGGAGGACCCACCACCCCCAUGGAAUGGGUAAGACGCCAAGCGUCUCCGCGGAGAGUCGAACCCUCUCCCUCCUAGAAUGGGUCAGUGGGCCCCCCCACGGUGGGGAAGACUUAACCAGCGGAGCCACCACGGCCGGUGAUUGAUACACAAAUAGUUUAUCACUGGUAAUUAAAAAAAAAAAAAUCACUCGGAGUCGAAAUUAAAGAUGAGCGGGUGAACCUCCUGUGAUUAUGAGGAUGGUCAUUAGGGUUGACUCAGUUGCUUUCGUUUCAACUCUAUACUUUGA